UGAAAACAUUUUAUAAAGUUCAAACCUUAAAAAGUUUAUAGAUAUAUUCAUAAAUAACUGCGUUUGUUUUAACGUUUAGAAUUGUUGAGAAGAAUUCGGAAUUUAUUCGAAAAGUGAAUUCGCCAAAAUAUUUUCGUUUGAUGUUGUGGAUAAUAUAGAAAAGUUAUCUAAAUAACUCUUGGUGCAGUGACGGAGCAGAAGAAACUUCAACUAAGGGAACUCAAGUGAGGGGAAUCAAAGAUUAUUAAUUGUUUCAAUACCAGUGUUAUAACUACUUACAUUACUAUGGCUUCCUCUAAUGAUCAAAAUCCCUCUCCGACUGGUUACAAAAGCAUAGAAAUGCAUCAAGUAGAAGAAAUUAAUGCUAAUGUGGAAUGUAUUAAAAAGGAAAUCAAUGCUAUAAUCGCUCAACGGAAUAAUUACUGGUGUAAAAUACAAACAGUACUAGAUUUUUGCAACCAGAAUCGCAGCAGUGACCCGAAAAUUCGGCAUAUUAUAAAUAUACUUUCUGAGGGAUUUGAGAAUGACUGUUCAUUGCAGGAGAAAGAACCCAAUGAUGCUGGGAGUCAAUAAGCGUUUUCAUUUACAAAUUCUUGUUUAAGUUUCACUUGGUUAUGUAUUUACGUUUAAUAUUGAGGAUCCUUACAGCUUAAACUAAUGAAUGUGAUGAACAUCUGGGAUUAUGGUAUAUGAAAAUUCAUUUUCUAUCUGUAACUUAAAGUAAACAAAUGGAUUUGUGUUGGUUGACUUGCGCUAAAUACGACCACGGCUUUACGAAAAUACUGCAUUUGAAAAUCCAAUCAUACACCAAAUCCUUGGAAUUAAUGAUAUAUUUAGUUUAGAAAAUCUAACCACUACAUAAAACGUAGCUUAAAAGAUAUAUUUAUAUUCGUGUGUUUAUAAAUGAU